rnacentral:rRNA from 1 species
UACAGAGGUGGCAAGCGUUGUUCGGAAUUACUGGGCGUAAAGGGCGCGUAGGCGGCCUUCUAAGUCAGACGUGAAAUCCCCAGGCUUAACUUGGGAACUGCGUCUGAUACUGGAAGGCUUGAGUGCGGGAGAGGGAUGUGGAAUUCCAGGUGUAGCGGUGAAAUGCGUAGAUAUCUGGAGGAACACCGGUGGCGAAGGCGGCAUCCUGGACCGACACUGACGCUGAGGCGUGAAAGCCAGGGGAGCAAACGGG